GGUUCCAAGAAAAGCCUCUAAGCUUCAGUCUAACAAGACCGUACCGCAAACCGACACAGGUGGGCGAGAUGAGUAUUCUAAGGCGCUUGAGAGAACUCGGGAGAAGGAACUCGGCAAAUUGGUACCGUAACUUCGGGAUAAGGUACGCCCUUGUAGCUUGACUGGCCUGCGCCAGGAGGGUGAGAGGGUUGCAAUAAACUGGUGGCUGCGACUGUUUAAUAAAAACACAGCACUCUGCAAACACGAAAGUGGACGUAUAGGGUGUGACGCCUGCCCGGUGCCGGAAGAUUAAAUGAUGGGGUGCAAGCUCUUGAUUGAAGUCCCGGUAAACGGCGGCCGUAACAAUAACGGUCCUAAGGUAGCGAAAUUCCUUGUCGGGUAAGUUCCGACCUGCACGAAUGGCGUAACGAUGGCCACACUGUCUCCUCCCGAGACUCAGCGAAGUUGAAGUGUUUGUGAUGAUGCAAUCUCCCCGCGGCUAGACGGAAAGACCCCAUGAACCUUUACUGUAGCUUUGCAUUGGACUUUGAACCGAUCUGUGUAGGAUAGGUGGGAGGCUAUGAAACCGGAACGCUAGUUUCGGUGGAGCCGUCCUUGAAAUACCACCCUGGUUUGUUUGAGGUUCUAACCUUGGUCCGUUAUCCGGACUGGGGACAGUGCAUGGUAGGCAGUUUGACUGGGGCGGUCUCCUCCCAAAGUGUAACGGAGGAGUACGAAGGUACGCUAGGUACGGUCGGAAAUCGUGCUGAUAGUGCAAUGGCAUAAGCGUGCUUAACUGCGAGACCGACAAGUCGAGCAGGUGCGAAAGCAGGUCAUAGUGAUCCGGUGGUUCUGUAUGGAAGGGCCAUCGCUCAACGGAUAAAAGGUACUCUGGGGAUAACAGGCUGAUACCGCCCAAGAGUUCAUAUCGACGGCGGUGUUUGGCACCUCGAUGUCGGCUCAUCUCAUCCUGGGGCUGUAGCCGGUCCCAAGGGUAUGGCUGUUCGCCAUUUAAAGAGGUACGUGAGCUGGGUUUAAAACGUCGUGAGACAGUUUGGUCCCUAUCUGCCGUGGGCGUUGGAUAUUUGAAGGGGGCUGCUCCUAGUACGAGAGGACCGGAGUGGACGAACCUCUGGUGUACCGGUUGUCACGCCAGUGGCAUCGCCGGGUAGCUAUGUUCGGAAGAGAUAACCGCUGAAAGCAUCUAAGCGGGAAACUCGCCUUAAGAUGAGAUAUCCCCGGGGACUUGAUCCCCUUGAAGGGUCGUUCUAGACCAGGACGUUGAUAGGUCAGGUGUGGAAGUGAAA
rnacentral:rRNA from 1 species